AUCCAGCUGACGAGUCCCAGAUGGGACGAAACGUACAUCCUGGAU
rfam:Schistosoma mansoni strain Puerto Rico chromosome 4, complete genome